rnacentral:lncRNA from 10 species
CACUAACAACAAAUAAGAGUGAGGGCUGUGGUCUCAGAGGCCUUGCAGUGGACACAUGGACAGAAAGUCCAGUCCUGGGGAGUCAAUGACACGCAAGAUAAAUCUCUGAGCAGCAAGGACAGUCAAGAUGCAAGCGUCGCUCCUUGGACUCUGAAACCUGUGUCAUUUCCUCCCUGCUUUGCAGUGCUGCCCACACAACAGCUGUUGGGUGCCGGGAAUUAGGAAUCCGGAUUCAGAGCCUGCCCAUGUGUGGCCGAGGCGACGGGCCUUCCCAGGUGUGGUGCCACAUGCC